rnacentral:rRNA from 1 species
GGAAUUAUUGGGCGUAAAGAGCUUGUAGGUGGUUUGUCGCGUCUGCUGUGAAAAUCCGGGGCUCAACCCCGGACUUGCAGUGGGUACGGGCAGACUAGAGUGUGGUAGGGGAGACUGGAAUUCCUGGUGUAGCGGUGGAAUGCGCAGAUAUCAGGAGGAACACCGAUGGCGAAGGCAGGUCUCUGGGCCAUUACUGACACUGAGAAGCGAAAGCAUGGGGAGCGAACAGGAUUAGAUACCCUGGUAGUCCAUGCCGUAAACGUUGGGAACUAGGUGUGGGUCUCAUUCCACGAGAUCCGUGCCGCAGCUAACGCAUUAAGUUCCCCGCCUGGGGAGUACGGCCGCAAGGCUAAAACUCAAAGGAAUUGACGGGGGCCCGCACAAGCGGCGGAGCAUGCGGAUUAAUUCGAUGCAACGCGAAGAACCUUACCAAGGCUUGACAUACACCGGACGCAUCCAGAGAUGGGUGUUCCUUCGGGCUGGUGUACAGGUGGUGCAUGGUUGUCGUCAGCUCGUGUCGUGAGAUGUUGGGUUAAGUCCCGCAACGAGCGCAACCCUCGUUCCAUGUUGCCAGCAACACUUCGGUGGUUGGGGACUCAUGGGAGACUGCCGGGGUCAACUCGGAGGAAGGUGGGGAUGACGUCAAAUCAUCAUGCCCCUUAUGUCUUGGGCUUCACGCAUGCUACAAUGGCCGGUACAAAGGGCUGCGAAACCGCGAGGUGGAGCGAAUCCCAAAAAACCGGUCUCAGUUCGGAUUGGGGUCUGCAACUCGACCCCAUGAAGUCGGAGUCGCUAGUAAUCGCAGAUCAGCAACGCUGCGGUGAAUACGUUCCCGGGCCUUGUACACACCGCCCGUCAAGUCACGAAAGUCGGUAACACCCGAAGCCGGUGGCCCAACU